GAUGAACGCUGGCGGCGUGCUUAACACAUGCAAGUCGAACGGGAAUUAUUUUAUUGAAACUUCGGUCGAUAUGUUUUAAUUCUAGUGGCGGCCGGGUGAGUAACGCGUGGGUAACCUGCCUUGUACAGGGGGAUAAAAGUCAGAAAUGGCUGCUAAUACCGCAUAAGCGCACAGAGCUGCAUGGCUCCGUGUGAAAAACUACGGUGGUAUAAGAUGGACCCGCGUUGGAUUAGCUUGUUGGCCGGGUAACGGCCUACCAAGGCGACGAUCCAUAGCCGGCCUGAGAGGGUGAACGACCACAUUGGGACUGAGACACGGCCCAGACUCCUACGGGAGGCAGCAGUGGGGAAUAAUGCACAAUGGGGGAGACCCUGAUGCAGCGACGCCGCGUGAAGGAAGAAGUAUCUCGGUAUGUAAACUUCUAUCAGCAGGGAAGAGAUUGACGGUACCUGACUAAGAAGCCCCGGCUAACUACGUG
rnacentral:rRNA from 1 species